AUUCUGUUUGAUGGCAGUUAGGAACACUGGCUGAUUGGAAAACAGGUUGGUUGUGGCACUAGCUGGGACUGGACUAUUUUUCUGGUUGCUCUGGCUGUGGGUUUCCCUAAGCUAAACAGACUACAAACCUGCUUUAUUUUCCACUAAGAAAAAUUCAAGAAGAGAGAAAGAAAGCUGAUUCCCAGGAAAAUCCUUGUGGCAGCAAAAUCUUAAGCUGGUCUUAAUAUUUAGCUUGGACUCCUUUCCCAGGCCAUCUUUGAUCUGAGAGAGAGAAUUUGAACCAUCCUAAAAGGUUUCCUGGUUCCUGUCUUCAGAAACCAUCAAGAAGAAGGCAAUGAGGAAAGACAAACGUUCACUUUGUGGACAUUUGAGAUUCUCCUCAUUGACAAGUAACUGGGAGGUCCAGAUAUUUUAGGUCUACCAAGGCCAAUCUGUUUGGAGGCAAGAUAUAUACAAAUAAGUGGCCUCUCAAGUUUCAGGUUUCAGCCAAGACUUGAAAGCAAAGUUCUGCAUACCUUGAGAAAAGUGUUUGCCAGAUUUCCAGCCCACUUUCAAGGUACUUAUGGAGUCCAAAACAAAAUGCAUCAGAAUAUUUUUUUAAGUCUGUGGGUACACAGAAAAGUAUAAACAUUUGAAGCCUCAAGCCUAAGUGAUAAAGAAGAUAACUGUGAGCUGGAGUUUCUUGUUUUGCUGAGAAAGAGCGCCUGGAGAAUUCCUUCUCAAAUAGUAUAUGUUAAGUGAGAAGCAGCAUGAUAUAUCGAGAAUUGGGAGUGGGUAUCCUCACUGGAUCUGAAGUCAGAAAAUUGGGAUUCAUUUGGGGACUUUGCCGUUCCCUACCUGUGUGAUGUUGGGUGAAUCAGUUCAUUUUUCUGGGUCACAACUUUCUUAGCUGCUGAAUGAUGGAACGGAAGGACCACCAAGAUCAUCUCUAAACCUAUGAUCCUCUAAGCGGAAAGAAAGAGAGAACAGUUCUAAAUCCAAUUUCACCACUAAUCAACUGUAUAUCUGUGGGCAAGAACUGGACCUCCAUUGGAUCACUCUUUUCUUAUGUGUUUAUUGAAAUUACUAAACUUAGUAACAUCUAAUGCCUCUUUAAGCUCUCCUUAUAUUUGACAUUCUAGACAGUCUUUGUCCUAAAGCAAGUUAAACACACCACCUUUAAGUACAUCAAAGAAUUGCCAUCUACAUUGGUAGAAAUAGCACCAACAUGGUUAAAACUGUCUAUCUUUUGAAGAAGUUUAUAUCAUUUAUCAAUAUAAAGACAUGU
rnacentral:lncRNA from 1 species